AAAUUGAAGAGUUUGAUCAUGGCUCAGAUUGAACGCUGGCGGCAGGCCUAACACAUGCAAGUCGAACGGUAACAGAAAGAAGCUUGCUUCUUUGCUGACGAGUGGCGGACGGGUGAGUAAUGUCUGGGAAACUGCCUGAUGGAGGGGGAUAACUACUGGAAACGGUAGCUAAUACCGCAUAACGUCGCAAGACCAAAGAGGGGGACCUUCGGGCCUCUUGCCAUCGGAUGUGCCCAGAUGGGAUUAGCUUGUUGGUGGGGUAACGGCUCACCAAGGCGACGAUCCCUAGCUGGUCUGAGAGGAUGACCAGCCACACUGGAACUGAGACACGGUCCAGACUCCUACGGGAGGCAGCAGUGGGGAAUAUUGCACAAUGGGCGCAAGCCUGAUGCAGCCAUGCCGCGUGUAUGAAGAAGGCCUUCGGGUUGUAAAGUACUUUCAGCGGGGAGGAAGGGAGUAAAGUUAAUACCUUUGCUCAUUGACGUUACCCGCAGAAGAAGCACCGGCUAACUCCGUGCCAGCAGCCGCGGUAAUACGGAGGGUGCAAGCGUUAAUCGGAAUUACUGGGCGUAAAGCGCACGCAGGCGGUUUGUUAAGUCAGAUGUGAAAUCCCCGGGCUCAACCUGGGAACUGCAU
rnacentral:rRNA from 1 species